CUUAUUAGGUAUAGAGUCAUCUGGUACAGUGUGUGACUGGACUGCCUCUGUGGGAAUACCAAGAAGCAGCGAUCAGCCGGCACCAUCUUGCAGUUCCAGAGCCAGGGUCUCAGAAGAAGAUCCAGAGCCAACAGAAGGACAAGGCUCCCUGAAAGACAAACUUAAGAGCCUAGUCAUGACUCUACCGCACUUAAAAGUCAAGGUCUGAACAGAUUUAAUUUCAUGCUUCCCUCUAUGCCCUCUCCAUUACAAUCAGAGAAGAAUCCAUAAUCCAUUCCUCCACAAGACAAAUGCUAUUUCUCUUUACUUAGAAAUGUUUUGUAAUUGAAUCACCACCCUUGCUGGCUCUGCUUCAGGCUUCAUAAUAAACAAAAACAUUUUUUCUC